rnacentral:tRNA from 3 species
GUCUCCGUAGCUCAGUGGAUAGAGCACUGGUUUCCGGUACCAAAGGUCGCAGGUUCGAAUCCUGUCGGGGACG